AGCGUAGACGGAAUGGCAAGUCUGAUGUGAAAGGCCGGGGCUCAACCCCGGGACUGCAUUGGAAACUGUCAUUCUAGAGUACCGGAGGGGUAAGUGGAAUUCCUAGUGUAGCGGUGAAAUGCGUAGAUAUUAGGAGGAACACCAGUGGCGGAGGCGGCUUACUGGACGGUAACUGACGUUGAGGCUCGAAAGCGUGGGGAGCAAACA
rnacentral:rRNA from 1 species